GACGAACGCUGGCGGCGUGCUUAACACAUGCAAGUCGAACGAUGAAGCCGGAGCUUGCUCUGGUGAAUUAGUGGCGAACGGGUGAGUAACACGUGAGUAACCUGCCCUUGACUCUGGGAUAACUGCGGGAAACUGUAGCUAAUACCGGAUACGACCCUCGGAGGCAUCUCCUGGGGGUGCAAAUACUUUCGGUCAAGGAUGGACUCGCGGCCUAUCAGCUAGUUGGUGAGGUAAAGGCUCGCCAAGGCGACGACGGGUAGCCGGCCUGAGAGGGUGACCGGCCACACUGGGACUGAGACACGGCCCAGACUCCUACGGGAGGCAGGAGUGGGGAAUAUUGCACAAUGGGCGCAAGCCUGAUGCAGCAACGCCGCGUGAGGGAUGACGGCCUUCGGGUUGUAAACCUCUUUUAGCAGGGAAGAAGCGAAAGUGACGGUACCUGCAGAAAAAGCACCGGCUAACUACGUGCCAGCAGCCGCAGUAA
rnacentral:rRNA from 1 species